CCUACGGGGGGCAGCAGUGAGGAAUAUUGGUCAAUGGGCGGAAGCCUGAACCAGCCAAGUCGCGUGAGGGAUUAAGGCCCUGCGGGUCGUAAACCUCUUUUGCCGGGGAGAAGUGGUCCGGACCCGUCCGGAACGGGCGAGUACCCGGAGUAACAGCAUCCGCGAACUCCGUGCCAGCAGCAGCGGUAAUACGGAGGAACCGAGCGUUAUCCGGAUUUAAUGGGUUUAAAGGGAGCGUAGAUGGGUUGUUAAGUCCGUUGUGAAAGUUUGGGGCUCAACCGUAAAAUUGCAAUUGAUAGUGGCAGUCUUGAGUACAGUUGAGGUAGGCGGAAUUCGUGGUGUAGCGGUGAAAUGCUUAGAUAUCACGAAGAACUCCGAUGGCGAAGGCAGCUUACUAAACUGCCACUGACAUUGAUGCUCGAAAGUGUGGGUAGCAAACAGGAUUAGAUACCCCUGUAGUC
rnacentral:rRNA from 1 species